AGCUUAAUUGUUCUUACGCCUAAUUACUUAAUUAUUAUCUUAAUCCCCAACUACUACUGAGUAAUUCUAUAUUUUUAUAGAAAAUUUUAUGUUAAAACUAGUAACAAGAAGAAGACCCUUCUCUUUAAUGCAACUGUAAAUCAGAAAGGACAAACCACUGAUACUUAACGUAAAUGAACCCAGAGUAGAAACUAGUCAAGAAAACUCUACUCUCACAAGCGUUAACCUAACACAAGAGCAUUUCAAGAAAGAUUAAAAGAAAAAGAAGGAACUCGGCAAACAUUAACCUCGCCUGUUUACCAAAAACAUCGCCUCUUGAAUUAUUAUUAGAGGUCCAGCCUGCCCAGUGACAAUGUUCAACGGCCGCGGUACCCUAACCGUGCGAAGGUAGCGUAAUCACUUGUUCUUUAAAUGUGGACUAGUAUGAAUGGCACCACGAGGGUUAUACUGUCUCCUUUUUCUAAUCAGUGAAACUAAUCUUCCCGUGAAGAAGCGGGGAUAAAUAUAUAAGACGAGAAGACCCUAUGGAGCUUUAAAUUAUAUAGCACUUGCAACAUAACAUAAAAAUUUCUGAAUAUUUUAAUUUAUAAGCAACAUGUCUAUAAAUUUUUGGUUGGGGUGACCGCGGAGCAUAACACAACCUCCAUGUUGAAAGAACUUCUUUCUAAGCUAAGAACUACCAGUCUAAGCAUCAAUAUAUUGACAUUCAUUGACCCAAUAUAUUUGAACAACGAACCAAGUUACCCUAGGGAUAACAGCGCAAUCCACUUCAAGAGCCCCUAUCGACAAGUGGGUUUACGACCUCGAUGUUGGAUCAGGGUAUCCCAGUGGUGCAGCCGCUACUAAA
rnacentral:rRNA from 1 species